rnacentral:misc_RNA from 1 species
AAGUCGUAACAAGGUUUCCGUAGGUGAACCUGCGGAAGGAUCAUUAAAGGUUUCCGUCGAGCUCUUUUUUUCACAAAAGAGUUUCGACGGCCAAAGAUCAACCACUGUGCGCACAUAUUGAAAAAAUUAAAUGCUUUGGUAGGUCGCCUUCAAUUUUUUUUGGAGGUGUCUGCCAAGAGUAUUUACCCAAAAAUCAGCCUUAUUUUUCGACUGAAAUUUUUUUUAAAUAAAAUUUAAUACAACUUUCAACAACGGAUCUCUUGGCUCUC